rnacentral:rRNA from 1 species
UAGAGGAAGUAAAAGUCGUAACAAGGUUUCCGUAGGUGAACCUGCGGAAGGAUCAUUACCGAAGACAAUGAAGGGUUUUGAGACUCUUAUGCGUGCUCGACCCCUUUACUUUUCUUACCCACACCUUUUGUGCACGAUGGGAGAAAUCCCUUUCACAUAAAAACCAAAUAUAUAUUGCAUGUCUUAUUAAAAUAAUGUAACAACUUUCAACAACGGAUCUCUUGGCUUUCGCAUCGAUGAAGAACGCAGCGAACGUGCGAAACGUAAUGUGAAUUGCAGAAUUCAGUGAAUCAUCGAAUCUUUGAACGCAUCUUGCGCUCCUUGGCAUUCCGAGGAGCAUGCCUGUUUGAGUGUCGUGAACUAGUCUCGAUUUCGAUUUUGAAAUCGGAUUUGGAUGUUGUUGUUGUGACUCAUCCUAAAUGCAUCAGCGAUCUGGCUUUGAUCACACGCAAUGUGAUAAGAAAAAAGCAUUGUUUCAGGGAUCAGAUCGUCUACACCCCCCCACUUCAUGUCGUUUGACCUCAAAUCAGGUAGGACUACCCGCUGAACUUAAGCAUAUCAAUAAGCGGAGGAAAAGAAACUAACAAGGAUUCCCCUAGUAACGGCGAGUGAAGAGGGAAAAGCUCAAAUUUGAAAUCUGGCGGCCUACGGUCGUCCGAGUUGUAAUGUAGAGAAGUGUUUUCCGUGCUGGACCGUGUACAAGUCCUUUGGAAUAAGGCAUCAUAGAGGGUGAGAAUCCCGUCUACGACACGGACUGCCAGUGCUUUGUGAUACACUCUCAACGAGUCGAGUUGUUUGGGAAUGCAGCUCAAAAUGGGUGGUAAAUUCCAUCUAAAGCUAAAUACAGGCGAAAGACCGAUAGCGAACAAGUACCGUGAGGGAAAGAUGAAAAGCACUUUGGAAAGAGAGUUAAACAGUACGUGAAAUUGUUG